rnacentral:rRNA from 1 species
UACGGAGGGUGCAAGCGUUAAUCGGAAUUACUGGGCGUAAAGCGUGCGCAGGCGGUUUUGUAAGUCUGGCGUGAAAUCCCCGGGCUUAACCUGGGAAUUGCGAUGGAGACUGCAAGGCUAGAAUCUGGCAGAGGGGGGUAGAAUUCCACGUGUAGCAGUGAAAUGCGUAGAGAUGUGGAGGAACACCGAUGGCGAAGGCAGCCCCCUGGGUCAAGAUUGACGCUCAUGCACGAAAGCGUGGGGAGCAAACAGG